GCGGUAAUACCAGCUCUCCGAGUGGUGGGGAUGAUUAUUUGGCCUAAAGCGUCCGUAGCCGGCUUAGCAAGUCUUUCGUUAAAUCCGAUGACUUAAUCAUCGGUCUGCGAGAGAUACUACUAGGCUUGAGGACGGGAGAGGUCGACGGUAUUUCGGGGGUAGGGGUAAAAUCCUAUAAUCCUCG
rnacentral:rRNA from 1 species